rnacentral:rRNA from 1 species
GGACAACCUACCCUGCGGAAGGGGAUAACCCCGGGAAACUGGGGAUAAUACCCUAUAGGAUAUUGAUGCUGGAAUGCGCGAUAUCUGAAAGUUGAGGCGCCGCAGGAUGGGUCUGCGGCCGAUUAGGUAGUUGUUGGGGUAAUGGCCCAACAAGCCUGUAAUCGGUACGGGUUGUGGGAGCAAGAGCCCGGAGAUGGAUUCUGAGACAUGAAUCCAGGCCCUACGGGGCGCAGCAGGCGCGAAAACUUUACAAUGCGGGAAACCGUGAUAAGGGAACCCCGAGUGCCCGUAGAAUCGGGCUGUUGAUCUGUGUAAAAAGCAGGUAAAGAAAGGGCCGGGCAAGACCGGUGCCAGCCGCCGCGGUAACACCGGCGGCCCGAGUGGUGAUCGUGAUUAUUGGGUCUAAAGGGUCCGUAGCCUGUUUGGUCAGUCCUCCGGGAAAUCUGACAGCUCAACUGUUAGGCUUUCGGAGGAUACUGCCAGACUUGGAACCGGGAGAGGUAAGAGGUACUACAGGGGUAGGAGUGAAAUCUUGUAAUCCCUGUGAGACCACCUGUGGCGAAGGCGUCUUACCAGAACGGGUUCGACGGUGAGGGACGAAAGCUGGGGGCACGAACCGGAUUAGAUACCCGGGUAGUCCCAGCCGUAAACGAUGCUCGCUAGGUGUCAGGCAUGGCGCGACCGUGUCUGGUGCCGCAGGGAAGCCGUGAAGCGAGCCACCUGGGAAGUACGGCCGCAAGGCUGAAACUUAA